AACAAGACAAACCCUGGGUUUCCGUGUCCAACGUUUGACCGUCCAUCUUAUUUGAAAAAAAUUAUGAAAAAAAUUAAAAAGAUAAGUCACACAUAAAGUAUUAAUCAUGUUUUAUCAUAUAACAGCAAUAAAAAUACUGAUUAUAAAAAAAUUUCAUAUAAAACGGACAGUCAAACGUUGGACACGGAAACCCAGGGUUUGUCUUUUU
rnacentral:pre_miRNA from 1 species